rnacentral:rRNA from 1 species
UAGCAGCCGGAAACGGCUGAUAAUACCGCGUAAGCGCACGAAUGUCGCAUGACAUGGUGUGAAAAACUCCGGUGGUAUAGGAUGGACCCGCGUCUGAUUAGCCUGUUGGUGGGGUAAAAGCCUACCAAAGCGAAGAUCAGUAGCCGAGUUGAGAGACUGACCGGCCACAUUGGGACUGAGACACGGCACAGACUCCUACGGGAGGCAGCAGGU